GACGUAGGGGGCGAGCGUUGUCCGGAUUUAUUGGGCGUAAAGCGUGCGUAGGCGGCUGCGCAAGUCGGGUGUGAAACCCCGGGGCUCAACCCCGGAACUGCAUCCGAUACUGCGUGGCUAGAGGUAGGUAGGGGAGAUCGGAAUUCCUGGUGUAGCGGUGAAAUGCGCAGAUAUCAGGAGGAACACCGGUGGCGAAGGCGGUUCUCUGGGCAUUACCUGACGCUGAGGAGCGAAAGCAUGGGGAGCGAACAGG
rnacentral:rRNA from 1 species